GAUGAAGAACGCAGCGAAAUGUGAUAAGUAAUGUGAAUUGCAGAAUUCAGUGAAUCAUCGAAUCUUUGAACGCACAUUGCGCCCCUUGGUAUUCCGAGGGGCAUGCCUGUUCGAGCGUCAUUAUAACCCCUCAAGCUCAGCUUGGUGUUGGGGCCUGCUGCACUGGCAGCCCUUAAAAUCAGUGGCGGCGCCAUCUGGCUCUAAGCGUAGUAAUUCUUCUCGCUAUGGAGUCCUGGUGGAUGCUUGCCAUCAACCCCCAAUUUUUCUAUGGUUGACCUCGGAUCAGGUAGGGAUACCCGCUGAACUUAAGCAUAUCAAUAAGCGGAGGA
rnacentral:misc_RNA from 1 species